rnacentral:tRNA from 6 species
GCCGAAAUAGCUCAAUUGGUAGAGCAACUGACUUGUAAUCAGUAGGUUACGGGUUCGAUUCCUGUUUUCGGCACCA